GAAGUGUGGACGCCAGUCUGCAUGGAGCCGACCUUGAAAUACCACCCUUUAAUGUUUGAUGUUCUAACGUGGACCCGUAAUCCGGGUUGCGGACAGUGUCUGGUGGGUAGUUUGACUGGGGCGGUCUCCUCCUAAAGAGUAACGGAGGAGCACGAAGGUUGGCUAAUCCUGGUCGGACAUCAGGAGGUUAGUGCAAUGGCAUAAGCCA
rnacentral:rRNA from 1 species